AGCUUCCUAAAAUCGCGAAAUCGGAAUCGUGGGCUCGUGGCAUCACCUAAAGGUACACACGUGAGCGGACCGGCAGAUGAUCGCGGUAAGGGCGUAGCGCCCUAGUGUAGUGACUUUCCAUUAUGCAUUAGAGCUACCUUUUGUAUGUGAGCGUAGAUGAUGUAUAGGUGGUGAGGUGUUUUGGAAAGAUUGUAAACUUUAUGUUUAUGUUUUGAAAGCUUAAAAUGUAAAUCAAUGCAAUGUAAAAA